CUAACAUUAGAAAUUCAUAGCGAAGAUGAAGUCUGAAGUCCAAACUCUCCUGAAGUGCAAGGCUGCUUAGUUAUUGCCUGCUAUCUGUUAACUGAAGAAAAUCAACUUAUUAAAUGCUCGAUGAUUGCACACUUUACAUUAAAGCUUCCUGGAAGUCUGAACACUGCAGACAGCAGGAGGGAGGAAGGAAACCAGAGAGGAGAGGAACGCGUAGCCCAGGGAUAUGGACAGCUGUCACCAGUGGACAGUGGGGGAAGAAGCUACGUGCAGAAACAGCCAAUGAAACUCUCUUGUACUCUCUGAGACCCACCCCCUGGAAAAUUCAGCACAAAUCUAGCCAAGUACUUUUAAUCUUAAGUGACACAGCUGAACUCAUUUCAGUCUCCAGCUCAGAAUCAAGUCUUUUAUGAAUGUUACUCUUGUUCCUAAACUUUAUCUCACAAAAC